rnacentral:lncRNA from 1 species
GGUAGAUAAUAUUUUCUUUUUAAACAGCAAAUUUUAUUCAUAAUAAGAUAACCUAACACAAGAAGUGAAGAGGCUAUAGGGGAAAGACACAAGGUAACAAUACAUAAAGACAACUAAACCAAUGCUAAAAAGCCACAUCACAAAACCACCCAAACAACCCUUAAUACAAUAUAAUUGAACCAGUUUCCAUCAACACCACAUCAAUAGACCCCUAAAUAAUUGAACAAAAACCAGCCACCUAAACUUCCUGGUACCAGUAAAUUACAAUUACUUAGUAGAUAUUGAUAUGUCUUGUUGCAUUGAUGUUUCAGAAAUGUGUGGCUGGAGGGUAAUCUUUGGGUCGUAACUUCCACAAUAUCUUCGAGCAGCGAUUGAUUUUGGGAGGUUUGAAUUUUGGCAAGGCAGCAUCAACAGCAAAAUGUUGAGGAGCAAGCAUAAAAGCAGCAAGGAAUAACACUAAUAAGGAUAAGAAAAAGGAAUUAGCCAUUUUAAGAAGUGAUAUUAUUAUUGUGUUGGUGCAUAAUACAUAGGUAGUUAACUGGCUUUAUACUAGUUAGAGACUCAAUGUGAUUUUUUGGUCAAUCUAAGUCAUUGUGUAUGAAUUCAAUCAUUCAACACGUAGGUUCCAUGCAUUUGGAAAACUAGUUGAUGAUUAAUAAUGUUCAAUAUAUUAGGCUAUGAAUUGUUUAUGAAUUGAAUUAUUGAACAAUGUUACAUGUUCCAUGUAUUUGCAACUAGUUGAUGAUUGGUAGCUACCUAUCCUUUAAUUUUCCACACAACAAGACCAUUCAGUAAUAUUGGCUCUAUAUCUCCACUUGUUUGCCCACACCGUGGUUUAGCUGAAAAAACAGUGUACUGGAGGUGGAACAUGUUUUAAUAACAUUAAUAUGUAGAUAUUAUUAUUUAUGCAUUGAACCCUGUAUUGAUAAAAAUUCCACAUAGGUUACUUUAUUUGUCAUUUAUGCUUGAAUAUAUAAAUACAAAACAGUGUUUUUUCUUAUUAAAAUAGGGGGAUUUUAGGCUAGCUUUUGUUAUUCUAAUUAUACCCUUAAAUAAAUAAAAAAUCAAAUAAUGUAAUAUUGUUGGUAUAAUUAAAAAAAUAAGAAUUUUUGUUAUAUUAUUGUUGUCAUUGAGUAAGAUAAAUAUGGUUUGUUGAGUUUGUUACAUUUGAAAGUCACAUAUAUUUAUACUUAUAAUUUUAAUCUAUAUCAAAGAGUUUAUAUAAAAUAUCGGUUGUAAUUUACACGCAAAAUUUCUAUAAAUUAUCGUAGAUAAUCUAUACACGUUAACGUAUUAAAAAGAGUAGAAAGAUGCGCAUGUGACUGCCCGUAUUUUGGUCCCUUAACUUCUCUCUCUUACACAUUUUGGUCCUUUCCAUUAGUUUAAUUCAAAAACGUUGAAUUUUCUUCAUCUUCUUCUCCUCUUUUUCAUCUUCAUAUCAUCUCCAUCAACCUUCAACAACAAGAAUCCCAAAAAAAAUUAUAGAAGAAAAUGAAGAAAACCUAACGUUUUUGAAUUAAAACUAACGGAAAUGGCCAAAAUGUGUAACAGAGAGAAGUUAUGAGACCAAAAUAAAUCGAAUUUUAAUUAAGGGAUCAAAGCGAUACUACCUAAAUAGUUAAGGGACCAAAAAUGCAAUUUAGCCUAUAAUCUAAUAUCAUCGUUAUUAAAUAUUAUUUUAUAAUCUAAUAUCAUUGUUAUUAAAUUUUAUAGCAAGUAUCAAACGAAGAACCGAGAGUUGUUGUUUGAUAUUGUUAUUUAAUCAUGUCUCGUAUAUCAAAGGAAGGAUCGAGAGGUAAAAUUUGAUAUUGGAAUAAAUGAGAUUGUAAACGAUAAGCAAAAUAUGAGAAAAAUUUUGUGACUCUUAUGACAAUAAGGUUAUAAGGUUGCACUCAAAAAGUUUUAAUGAUUAUCAACUAUGAGAAUAGGUUUAAUUACUGUUGAGAUACAUUCAUGUAAUCUGAUAGGAAACAUGAAAUAUCAAAGAACAUCUUGUCCUUAGAAACGAAUAGAGAAAUAUAUAGGGAAUGUUUAGAAUUUAACUUUAUGAUGAAAACCUCAAUCUCAUGACGCAUUUUAAUAUCUGAAUUUUAAUCUAAAAAAUCAUUGCACUUAAUCAACUUAUCUUUUUCAGCUAAUCAAGACUAAAAAUUAGAUUAGAAUUUACUUUAAGUCCAUGUGAAUCGAUAUUUUACUAGAACCGUACACUUGCAGAAACCUAUCAAAGACCCUAUUGAUGUAUAUGGAAUCGUAGUUACCUAUCAAAGCUACAAAAUUUAGAUCGGACUUGGGGGUCUUUCUAACCGUUCUUGAAGUCGUAGGGGGGUUCGUUUACCGGAUGUAGCAUCGAAGGCUUGAGUGCAGAGUUCGAAGGGGUGCACAAGUAUUCAAGGAUCCGAAGAUUCAAGAAGCACCAAAUUUAAGGGUUACUUGGAGUUUGGGGGAGUGUUUUACAUAGGAGUUGAAGAAUUAGGUUUUAAUUUCAAGGAACUCUUGUAAACACAUUGUAUUCAACAUUUGUUACAUGGUGGAUGAUCUCGGUGAAGAUGUACUUAAUCAAGAAGAGUAGAGGUAGAUCUAGAGAGGACGAGAAAGAGCAAUCUAUUAUAAAAAUAUCGGUGUGAUCUCUCUUUCCCUAUCCUCUUUACUUUUAGAUAUUGCAUGUGAUUAAUUGAAUAAUUUUUAGGAUAAUUUCUAGUGUUGAUCUAAGUUGUUUUUCAUUGAAAAUCAAUCUAAUUCAUUGAAUUAGGUUUCAUAUAAUUUGCUUAGAUCAAUUGAAUGCAAAAUCUAUUCAAUUCUUCAAUUACACAUGUAUUGUGUUUUUUAUUUGAUAACUUAGUAAUUUUGUUCAUAUAGAUUUGGUUUGAAAUUGUCUAUUGUUUUAUACAUUGUUCAAGGAAUAUUAAAGUUUGAUUGUAUAAUAACAUUUAGUAACAAGGUGAUUGCAACACUUGAAAAAUUGUUAGCUGAUAUAGUGAUAUAGUAACAAUUGAGUAAAAGUGUUAGAUCCAAUACAACAAGUACCAUCCCUAAAAAAAAAACAAAAAUACAAGUAACAAUAGAACUCAUUCGUUAUUCAUUCACGUGUUAAAAAAUUUAGCUGAAAAAACAGUGUACUGGAGGUGGAACCUGUUUUAAUAACAUUAAUAUAUAGAUAUUAUUAUAUAUGCAUUGAACCCUGUAUGAUUUAUUGAUAAAAAUUCCACAUUACGUUAUUUGUCAUUUAUGCUUGAAUAUAAAAAUACAAAACAGUGUUUUUUCUUAUUAAAUUUUUUAAUUAAUUUAUAAAGACUUUUAAUAACUUAGUGUUUACCAAUUGCACUCAUUAAUUCUUAAUUAUAGAAUAAUUGUAAACCCAUUUUAGAUCCUCCAAAAAUGAAGAAAGCUCAUUCUUAGGACAACACAAAAUGGAAGAAACUCAAGAUUGUUGGCAUAUUGGUAGACUAUUUCUGUUUGACAAAUUCAAUAAUCUAGUUUAUAGUUUAUAAGUCCGAAUGAUUAAAAAAUAUAUGUUUCAUAACUGUUUUUUCAUCACAAGUUUUAUAGUUUAUUUUAUUAGUUUGUAGGUUUUUUUUUAGACUUUAUUCCAAAUGUGGAAUAACGUUUGAGAUUAUAGUUUAUCCUUUAUAAUCUAUAUUAUAUAUAAUGAAAAUAGGGGGAUUUUAGGCUAUCUUUUUUGUUAUUCUAAUUAUAUCCUUAAAUAAAAAGAAAUCAAAUAAUGUAAUAUUGUUGGUGUAAUUAAAAAAAUAAGAAUUUUUGUUAUAUUAUUGUUGUCAUUGAGAAAGAUAAAUAAAUAUAGUUUGUUGAGUUUGUUACAUUUGAAAGUCACAUAUAUUUAUACUUAUAAUUUCAAUCUAUAUCAAAGAGUUUAUAUAAAAUAUCGGUUGUAAUUUACAAGCAGAAUUUCUAUAAAUUAUCAUAGAUAAUCUAUACACGUUCACGUAAUAAAAAAAAGCAGAAAGAUGCGCACGUAAAUGCCCGUCUUUGCACUAGUUUAUUAUAAAAAAAAUGCUAAAAUGUUCAGUUCUUUUGGUCAUACUGCACAAAUUAUUUGGUAGCUUGACAUAUAUGUUACUGAUGUAAACUUCACUCUCACUUUAAUUAUGUUACUCCACAGUCCUCUAAAAUUGUGUUUCUCUUUUUUCCCUAAAACUUCUCUUUUGGAUUAUUCAAUCCGAAUUAAGUUGUUUCUGGUUUGAAAUAUAUAAUUUGAACUGCUUCUAUAUAUGUUUUCUCUUUAUUUUGUGGCUAUUUAUUAAUUGUGUGUAUAUCUGAUUUUAACACUUUCAAAUAUUGAUCGCAUGGGCUGUGUUAGGAAUGAUAGAAUUUCCUUGACUGCAUCUUCUAGGUGAGAGCAGACGUAGAAGAAUGUACUAGAAAGGAGAGUGGUCAAGGGCAGGGGCAUGGUCCGCAAUGCUGAGACGCAGAGAGGUCGUCAGUUCCUAGACAUUAGUGGAAGUUUAGGGCGCAUCGGGGAACAUGUCAGAAAUAUUUAACUUUUUUAGUGAAUAUUUUUUUAAUUUAAAAUUUUUAAAGAGUGUCUCGAAGAUACUCGUUGGCAAGACUGAUAAGUUGUAGUUAAUGGUGUUUUUAACAUUUAAAUUCAAUAAUAUUUACGUUGUUUUAGUUUUAAUUUAGAUUCAUUUUACUGGAAAGCAUUAGUUUUUGUUUUCAUAAUCAAAAAUUUGAAGAACAGUGUACCUGGAUCAAGAGCGAGGAUAAAGAGCCAUAAAGCAACAACAUGGAUUGUUCGUGGUUCCAUCUGGGUUGUGCACUUCUUAAAAUGUCAGAAUUUCAAAAGUUGAAGUACAAGCACGACCGUGCCCCCCAACACCGUAGAAAUAAGCAUGAUUGUGCGCUUCAGAAGCACGACUUUGCACCCCUCAAAACAUGUCAAAAGUUGGAAAGGUGAUCAUGACCGUGUACCCUUGAAGCAUGACUGUGCACCCUUGAAGCACGACCGUGCGUCUUGUGCAGAGAAAAUAGUUGUUACAACCUUUUAGAAUUCUUUAGUUUAUGGCUUGUAACUCGUUUUUAAUAUAUUAUAUGAGGCUCUAGGCUAUAAAUAUACCUCACUUCUAAGGAAAAAAGAAUCUUAGAUACUUGUAAACUUACUCUAAAGUUGAAAACAUAAUUUUGCAAUGUUCUAAGUUCUUUGUUCUUUAUUUUUCAUUUCUUUACAUUUGUGUUCUUUACUCUUCUGUUCUUUACAUUUUAAGUUAUUUACUUUCAUGUCUUUUACUUUCUUGUCUUUAUAUAUUAAUCAUUCGUCUACUAUGAGAGAGAGAGAGAGAGAGAGAGAGAGAGAGAGAGAGAGAGAGAGAGAGAGAGAGAGAGAGAGAGAGAGAGAGAGAGAGAGAGAGAGAGAGAGAGAGAGAGAGAGAGAGGUGAUAUUAGUGCAGAACACAUAGCAAAAGAGAAUGAAAAAAGAAGAUCCCGAUCCUUUUCUAAAGGAGAAUCAACCAUCUAUAUAACGACAAAUUUAAACCCAUCAAGUACAAAAAAACGAUCAAGGUAAAAAAUAUAAACGGAACAUUGAACAAUUUUAUUAAAUUAUAAUAAACUUCAAAGGGUAAAAUUGGUUUUUAGAUAAACAUAUAAGGGGUUACCAAAUAGGGUUACAAGUUAUAAGCUUGUGAAGAAAACGUCUUGGUUGACUUCAAUGACUAAAGUAACUAAGACCAAAGAGUGAAUGAUUUAAUUCGGAUUUUAUCUAAGUCAUUGACCAAAAUUACAUCUUGUUACACUUUUAAGGAGAAAAAUGGUUGUUUUCUCAAUAAUGUUUUCCAAUAUUAAAUUAAUGUUGUUUUCUGCCUUAGGGAUGUUACCAAUUUGUUAUGUUGGAGUUACCUUUAGUGCUAAGAAACCUUUAGACCAAUAAAAAUAUUUUGAGUCCCUUUUAAAGUGGUAAAUACACUAAUAUAAAGUCAUUGUCAAUUGAUGUUAGGACUAUUUAUUAAUAAUGCAAUAUUUACUUGUUGUUCUUUGGUAGACACUUAAGGUGCGUUUGAUUUGUUAAAAAAUGAAGGACAGAACAACUCUAGUUGUCCAGUGUUUGAUUUGUAAAACUGUUUUAGGUACAAGACAAUUUGGAGGCAAGGGACAGGACAAAAACUCAUUUUUGUCCCUCACCAACCCACAACACAACUUUUUGUCCCACGUACAAGUUGUCUAAAAUACCAAAAUAGCAUUUUGUCCCUCAAAAAUCGUAUAAAACAAAAAAUUACUCAAUGCCAUAAAAAAUUUGUCCUGUCUUGUUCUGCCUUGUGUUGUACUGUUCUAUCUUGUACUGUUUUGUCCGGUACUUGCUGUUUUGCAAACCAAACACACCCUUAGAGGUCAUUUUUGUGGACUGUAGGUACCUAAAGCUCUAUGAACUUGGUUAUAUCAUAGAUAACGUCGUAUUGGAAAAACGGAAAUGAAAGACUCAUCUCUCACUCUACUUAGGGCUAGCCAAUUGUCAAACGCCAAUUGUCAAACUUGGUUACAAUUAAUUUUUUUUGGAAAACUUAUUUUGAAUUUUCUACAUGUCAUGAAAAAUUCAAAUUUCUGUUUUCUGAUUAGAAGAUCAAUAAACGGUUCAAUAUCAUCACAAUCUCCAAAUCAUAACUUCAUUCAUUUGCAAAUCUAGAGCACAUAUAUCACGAUUUUCUAUCAUGAUUUGCAUUGAUAUAAGUAAGUAUAACACAUAUAUUUUACUCUUAACUUAGCCAUACAUUGCGGAUUUACUUAGUAGAUAGAGUAAUGUUUUUUUUUAAACAACAAAUUUUAUUCAUAAGCUAACCCAACACAAGAAGUGAAGAGGCUAGAGGAAACACACAAGACAACAGAUACAUAAAGACAACUAAACCACCCAAACAAUCCUUAAUACAAUAGAAUAACAUCAGAAAAACCAGCCACCUAAACUUCCUAGUACCAUGAAACAAUGUCAGGUCGCGUUGAUUUUUAGGCUGGAGGGCAAUGUUUGUUUCGGAAGUUCUCGACUUUCUUCAACAAAGGGUAGUGCUUUUUGCAGAAAUCGGGUAUAUGGGGUAUAUGUACUGGUUUAUCUUUUGGGAUUAAAUUUUUGAUUUUUGGGAUUAAUGCUUCAACUGCGGGACCAAAGCUAACAGCAUCAGCAAAAUGUUGUUGAGGAGCAAGCAUAAAAGCAGCAAGGAAUAACACUAAUAAGGAUAAGAAAAAUGAAUUAGCCAUUUUAAGAAGUGAUAUAAUUAUUAGUGUUGGUGCAUAAUACAUAUGGAGUAUACUGGUUUUAUACUAGUUAGAGACUCAAUGUGAGUUUAUGGUCGAUCUAAGUCAUUUACUAAAUGUCAAAAUUGUGUAUGAAUUGAAUUAUUCAACAAUGUUACAAGUUCCAUGUAGUUGCUACUAGUUUAUGAAUUGAAUUAUUCAUUCGAUUCUCCGCGCGACUCAGGUGCAUGCCGAAACCGUUUUAAUUAUAUGAGCAAAUUAAUAAAUAAAUGGGUUGGUGCUUAUGAUGGUGCUAAGCGUUUGCAAGGAAGCGGUUGGUCGAAAGAUGAUGUUUUGGAAAAAGCCCAUGAAUUAUAUGUGAAACACCCCGUUUUCCCAACUUGAAUUUUUUUGCAUAAAUCAGAGUAAAACAACUAAACAGGAUGCUGCACUUCUUUCAAAUCUGAAUAUAGUAAAAUUACUAAUUAUCUCAAUCAUCAAAUUAAAUCUUAUUGCAGCGGAAAUUAGUUCAACGUUUAAAACAACCUUGGCACAAAGGCCUCAAUGUAAAAUCUCAUAAAAUUAUUCCAACAACAUGUUCAUAAAACUUCAUAAAAUAAUACGUAAGGAACGUAAAGCAACAACAAAAUUCUCAUCCCGUUACGUAUCAGAGCACCUAAGACACACGUGAGAGAAUCCACUCACGACCGCAACUAUUCUUGGUUACCUGCAAGUUACUCAAUUGUGAGGGCAACAUUUCCAAGCAGAAGGGGUGAGAUUUCACAUUCAAUAAUAAUAAGCAUAUAAUUCAUCAAAUUCAUUUAACAACUUAAACUUCAUCAAUUAGUAACACUAACUCUUCGCAUAAAUACUUCAUUAAUUAAUAACAUUAACUCUUCCUAUAAGACUUCAUUAAUAACUCAAUCAACUUCUAAUCAUCAUUAACUUCAUAUUCAUCACAUUAUAUACAACGUCAUACAGCACGUAAUAAUCAAAUCAUAAACAUCAUCAUAUAAAAACCUAAUCAUCACAUCAUAAACAUCAUCUUAUAACAUCAUAUAGUUCACAUCAUAAACAUCAUCAUAUAACAACAUAAACAUCACAACAUAAACAUGAAAUAAGGUUAUAAGGUUGCACUCAAAAAGUUUUAGUGAUAGUCAACUAUGAGAAUAGGUCUAAUUACUGUUGAGAUACAUUCAUGUAAUCUUAUAGGAAACAUGAAAUACCAAAGAACAUCUUGUCCUUAGAAAUGAAUAGAGAAAUAGAUAUGGAAUGUUUAGGAUUUAACUUUAUGAUGAAAACCGCAAUCUCAUGACGCAUUUUUAUAUCUAAAUUUUAAUCAAAAAAAAUAAUUGCACUUAAUCAAUUUAUUUUUUUCAGCUAAUCAAAACUAAAAAUUAGAUUAGUAUUUACUUAAAGUCCAUGUGAAUCGAUAUUUUACUAGAACCGUACACUUGCGUAAACCUAUCAAAGACCCUAUUGAUGUAUAUGGAAUCGUAGUUACCUAUCAAAGCUACAAAAAAAAUUAGAUCGGAAUUGGGGUCUUUCUGACCAUUCUUGAAGUCGAAGGGGGUUCGUUUACUGGAUGUAGCAUCGAAGGCUUGAGUGAAGAGUUCGAAGGGGUGCACGGGUAUUCAAGGAUCUGAAGAUUCAAGAAGCACCAAAUUUAAGGGUUACUUGGAGUUUGGGGGAGUGUUUUACAUAGGAGUUGAAGAAUUAGGUUUUAAUUUCAAGGAACUUUUGUAAACACAUUUGUAUUCAACUAUUAUAAAAAUAUCGGUGUUAUCUCUCUUUCCCUAUCCUCUUUACUUUUAGCUAUUGCAUGUGAUUAAUUGAAUAAUUUUUAGAAUAAUUGCUAGUGUUGAUCUAAGUUAUUUUUCAUUGAAAAUCAAUCUAAUUCAUUGAAUUAGGUUUCAUAUAAUUUGCUUAGAUCAAUUGAUUGAAAAAUCUAUUCAAUUCUUCAAUUACACAUGUAUUGUGUUUUUGAUUUGAUAACUUAGUAAUUUUGUUCAUGUAGGUUUGGUUUGAAAUUGUCUAUUGUUUUGUACAUUGUUCAAGGAAUAUUAAAGUUUGAUUGUAUAAUAAGAUUUGUAUCGUGAAUCUCUCAAUUCUAAGAUUAAGUCUCAUUGCACAUAUAUUUGACCUUUUGAUUCCUUGAUUGUCAUUGUUCGACCACGAAUCCAAUAGUCAAUUUUGUUGAGAGAGAGAGAGAGAGAGAGAGAUUGGAUGGACGGGUGAUAUUAGUGCAGAACACAGCAAAAGAGAAUCGAAAAAAGAGGAUCUUGAUCCUUUUCUAAAGGAGAAUCAACCAUCUAUAUAAUGACAAUUUUAAACCCAUCAAGUACAAAAAUAACGAGCAAGGUGAAAAUAUAAACGUAACAUUGAACUAUUUUAUUAAAUGAUAAUAAACUUCAAAGGGUAAAAUUGGUUUUUAGAUAAACAUAUAAGGGGUUACUAAAAAGGGUUACAAGUUUUUUUUUUUUUUUGAAAGAAGGGAUACAAAUUAUAAGCUUGCGAAGAAAAGACGGUUAUCAAACACAGCCUAUGCAGCUCAUGAAGCUGCCAUAAAAAUUUUAAUAGUGGGGGAUGUUUAAUGAAGAUUAGUAGUAGUGUUACGUUAUUCAUGGAGCUAUAGUUAUAAAUAAUUUUAAAGUGGGUAAUGUUUAUUGAAGAUAGGGAGAUCGAAGCGGAAAUGCUGAAAAAUGAUGAUGGAAAAAUAUAAAUCGAUAUUAUCUUUUAUUUUAGUCAGAAUUUAAAUUUGGUAUUUUUCAGUAUCCAUGUCGGCGAUUUUGACUAAUUUUGAUUAAGUAAACGUCUUAGUUGACUUCAAUGACUAAAGUAACUAAGAACAAAGAGUGAAUGAUUUAAUUCGGGUUUUAUCUAAGUCAUUGACCAAAAUUACAUCUUGUUACACUUUUAAGGAGAAAAAUGGUUGUUUUCCCAAUAAUGUUUUCCAAUAUUAAAUUAAUGUUGUUUUCUGCCUUAGGGAUGUUACCAAUUUGUUAUGUUGGAGUUACCUUUAGUGCUAAGAAACCUUUAGACCAAUAAAAAUAUUUUGAGUCCCUUUUAAAGUGGUAAAUACACUAAUAUAAAGUCAUUGUCAAUUGAUGUUAGGACUAUUUAUUAAGAAUGCAAUAUUUACUUGUUGUUCUUUGGUAGACACUUAGAGUUCAUUUUUGUGGACUGUAUGAACUUGGUUAUAUCAUAGUUAACGUCGUAUUAGACAAACGGAAAUGAAAGACUCAUCUCUCACUCUACUUAGGACUAGCCAAUUGUCAAACUUGGUUACAAUUUAUUUUGUUUGGAAAACUUAAUUUGAAUUUUCUACAUGUCAUGAAAAAUUCAAAUUUCUGUUUUCUGAUUAGAAGAUCAAUAAACGGUUCAAUAUCAUCACAAUCUCCAAAUCAUAACUUCAUUCAUUUGCAAAUCUAGAGCACAUAUAUCACGAUUUUCUAUCAUGAUUUGCAUUGAUAUAAGUAAGUAUAACACAUAUAUUUUACUCUUAACUUAGCCAUACAUUGCGGAUUUACUUAGUAGAUAGAGUAAUGUUUUUUUUUAAACAACAAAUUUUAUUCAUAAGCUAACCCAACACAAGAAGUGAAGAGGCUAGAGGAAACACACAAGACAACAGAUACAUAAAGACAACUAAACCACCCAAACAAUCCUUAAUACAAUAGAAUAACAUCAGAAAAACCAGCCACCUAAACUUCCUAGUACCAUGAAACAAUGUCAGGUCGCGUUGAUUUUUAGGCUGGAGGGCAAUGUUUGUUUCGGAAGUUCUCGACUUUCUUCAACAAAGGGUAGUGCUUUUUGCAGAAAUCGGGUAUAUGGGGUAUAUGUACUGGUUUAUCUUUUGGGAUUAAAUUUUUGAUUUUUGGGAUUAAUGCUUCAACUGCGGGACCAAAGCUAACAGCAUCAGCAAAAUGUUGUUGAGGAGCAAGCAUAAAAGCAGCAAGGAAUAACACUAAUAAGGAUAAGAAAAAUGAAUUAGCCAUUUUAAGAAGUGAUAUAAUUAUUAGUGUUGGUGCAUAAUACAUAUGGAGUAUACUGGUUUUAUACUAGUUAGAGACUCAAUGUGAGUUUAUGGUCAAUCUAAGUCAUGUACUAAAUGUCAAAAUUGUGUAUGAAUUGAAUUAUUCAACAAUGUUACAUGUUCCUUCCAUGUAUUUGCUACUAGUUGAUGAUCAGUCCCUACCUAUCCUUUAAUUUUCCACACAACAAGACCAUUCAGUAAUAUUGGCUCUAUCUCUCCACUUGUUUGCCCACCAUGGUUUAGCUGAAAAAACAGUGCAACUUGUUUCAAUAACAUUAAUAUAUAUAGAUAUUACUAUUUAUAUAUGCAUUGAACCCUGUAUGAUUUAUUUAUUUAUAAAAAUUCCAAAUAGGUUACUUUAUUUGUCAUUUAUGCUUGAAUAUGAAAAUACAAAACAGUGUUUUUUCUCAUUAAAAUUUUUACUAUAAAGAUUUUUAAUAACUUAGUGUUUACCAAUUGCACUUACUAAUUCUUAAUUAUAGAAUGAUGAUUAAAAAUUGUAUGUUUCAUAACUGUUUUUCAUCACAAGUUUAUAGUUCACUUCUCAGACGUUAUUCCAAAUAACGUUUGAGAUUAUAGGUUAUCAUUUUAAUUUCAUGUUUACCUUUAUUAUUUUGUUUAAGAUUUAUUUUUAUCCUUUUUAAUAUAUACUAUUUAUAAAGAAAAUAUAGGGAUUUUGGGCUGACUUUUUUGUUAUUCCAAUUAUACCUUUAAAUAAAAAAAAAUCAAAUAAUGUGAUAUGGUUGGUGUUAAUAAAAAGAUAAGAAUUUUUGUUAUAUUAUUGUUGUCAUUGAGAAUCAUAAAUAUUGUUUGUUGAGUUUGUUACAUUUGAAAGUCACAUAUCAUACUUUUAAUUUUUGUCUAUAUCAAAAAAUUUAUAUAAAAUAUCGUUUGUAAUUUACACGCAGAAUUUCAAUAAAUUAUCGUAAAUAAUUUAUACACAUUAACGUAAUAAAAAGAGCAGAAAGAUGAACAUGUGAAUGCUCGUCUUUUCGCUAGUUUAUUAUAAAGAAUAUGCUAAAUGUUUGGUUCUUUUGUCAUACUACACAAAUUAUUUGGUAGCUUUAUAUAUAUGUUACUAAUGUUAAUUUCACUCUCACUUUAAUUAUGUUACUCCAGAGUCCCUCUGAAAUAAUGUUUCUCUUUUUGCCCUAAAACUUCUCUCUUGCCAUCCAAAAUUUAAAACUCCCAUAUUAUAUGAUUCAUGAAGAUUUUUUGCUUCAAAACAUUGAUCAGGUCUUUUCAAACACGGACAACAAGGUAGGGUAUCAUUCCUUCCCUUUAGUGUUAUUUGAAUCUUUUUUUUUUUUCUUCUGUAAACUAAAACCUUAUAGAUUAUAUAAUAAUCUGAAUCAAGUUGUUCCUGGUUUGGAUUAUAUAAUUUGACAUGCUUCUAUAUAUAUGUUGUUUUGUUAUUUUGUGGAUAUUUUUUUAUUUUUUUUAGACAAAAGAGGAAUUAAAUUAAAAUAGAAAAGGAGGUAUAAGAUUGGGGGCAAUGACCUGACCAGUAAACCACAAAAUCAAAAUACAACAAUUUCAGUACAAAGUGGUAUACAACGAACACAACCCUAAACAAUCACUACUACGGACAAUUCAGCGAACCCACGUAUGAGCGCCAAACCGAAUUGCAAAAAAAACGUAGAGUGAGUAUUCAGAACUUCUAAAUAGGCGUAUGGAUCGACUGCCAACACAAAAACGAUCCAAGAUCAAGCAGCUCCCAUCAAAUAUCAGCAAGCAAUAAACGCCCUUUCGGGCCAACCAUUCCAGUCGUAGUUCAGUUCGAGGGAUGAACAAACGACAUAAAUGUAAAGCAGUCCACUGACAACGCAUAAAGCAACCGUAGCAGAUAAAGUCCUGCAGGUACGACAUCAACAACUAUCGUCAACCAGAGCGUCUACGCACUUAGCCCUUUCGUGCAUAUCAGGCGAAACAAGUCUUGUUGAAUCCAGAUCGAGGGAUGGUAUCCAACCAAACAUCGCACAAAUGAACAGAACCAUAACCAAAUCUUAAAUCCAGACAAACCAAAUUCAAAAUUUCAACUAAACCGGAUAGCCAGAAUAAGACCACCACCAAUCUUCAUCUUCCCGAAACAACAUAAAACACCAUUCGAUUCUUCAUGGUCUUCUUCUUUCAAACUAGUGCGUCUUCCUGGAACCGCCAUUGAUGUGAAAUUCGACUAUCUUUGCCGCCGCUUCAACUUCAAACUACUAUGCCAUUGACGCUUUUAAUUUAGUGGGAGAAAAAAGAAAAAGAUCGAAAUGAAAGUAGAAGAAGAAGGUUUGGUGUGUGUUUUUGAAGAAGAAGACGAAGAAAAAAAAAAGUUUGUGUUGUUACGUGUGAGAGGGUGUGGUGGUAAGCUUGUAUAUGAGAGAGAAAUAUAUGUCUAGAGUUUUGAUGUCUAAAGAAGACCACAAUUAAUGUGACAUUGGAAAAUGAAAGGGUGGAUGCAUGGGUACCAAAAUCUCAUAAUUAUUUGUUGGAAGAUGCAUAAGGAAGAGAGAGUUAUCCCCAAUAAAUGAGAGUGGGGAAUAGUUGAAAGAAGUGGCUUUUACAAAGUAGAAUGCUGAUUAGAAUUAACAAUUAAGUGUAGAUGAUCAACGGUUGAUGUUGAAUGGCGCCUAAAUGAUGAUCAGCAUCCAAUGGCUUGCAAAAUUGGAGAGAAAAAUGAGGGGGGAAAAUUAGGGUUAAGGAUAGCUUCGGGGGAUAAGCUUUAGUAAGUAAGAUUGUCUUAUAUACUUACAUUAUUUUAGGUCUAAAUUUCAGAAACCAUUAUUUGACAAUUUUUUUGACAAUUUUAUCUCACAUACUCACAUUAUAUUUUUACUUCUCUUUUUGUUGUUUUGGUUUUUAUUUUCAUACCUAAUUUUCCUUGUAAAUCUAUAGUUGUCUCAUAAAUUAUCGUUAAAAUUGUUGUUCAAAUAACACAACUCUUAUUUCUAAUACUCAAAAUUUGUUCAAAUUAAGUUUUUAAAGAACUUCUAAUAAAGUCAGAUUAAAGUUUUUUUGAACUUUUUAAAUACUUAAAUUGAAUUUUCUCCAAUAUACAUAUUAGAGAAAGAAAAAAAAUAAUGAUAGGAGGGAGAUGCAAAACUUAUGUUUUCUUUCUCUAGAAACAUAUUUUGAGUUUUCAAUAUCAUCAAAAUCUCAAAAUCAUAAACUUUAUUUAUUUGCAAAUCUAGAGCACAUAUAGCGCGAUUUUCUCUCAUAAUUUACAUUGAUAUAACACAUAUUAUGUUCUUACCUUGCCCAAACAUUCGGGAUUUAAUUGAUGAUGUAAAAGACGUUUUUAAAUGUAGAAUAAGAAAGAUGGAAAACCUCCAAGCCAAAUUAUACACAAGAUAUACAAAUUAUACACAAAAAUUUCAAAUUUCAAUUUUCUCGAGAGUAUUCUUAAAUGAUCAAUCAAUGAUUCAAUAUAAUCACAAUCUCAAAAUCAUAAACUUUAUUUAUUUUCAAAUCUAGAGCACAUAUAGCGGGAGGAGAUUGUCUCGUGUGAUUUUUCUCUCAUGUGUAAUCCAGACCCUCCAUUAAAUAUGUGAGAUAAUGUGUUUGUAAUAUAAAAUGACCGAACGCAAGAUAAAUUGUUUUUUUCUAAACAAUAAAUUUUAUUCAUAAGCAUUCCCGUGAGCUUAGCUCAGUUGGUACGGAUAUUGCAUUUUAUAUGCAGGGGCUGAGGUUCGAACCCCAGACACCCCACUUCUCCACAAUUAAAUUGUGUGAGCUCUAACCACUAGACUACUUGACCAAGAAAAAAAGAAAUAUUCAUAAACUAACCCAACACAACACAAGAAGUGAAGAGGCUAUAGAGGAAAGACACAGGGUAACAAUACAUAAAGACAACUAAACCAAGGCUAAAAAGCCACAACACAUGUAAAUGGCUUAUCACAGCAGAAAACAAGGUAUAUCAAUAUCAUGUGUGACUACAAAACCGCCCAAACAACCCUUAAUACAAUAGAAUCACAGCAGAAAACACCCUUAGUAGAUAUUGAUAUGCCUUGCCGCGUUGAUGUUUUAGAAAUGUGCAGGUGGAGGGCAAUUACUGGGUCGGUUAUGCCCGUUUUUCCUCGAGCAGGGAUUUAAUGAGGGCUUUUGGGAUGGUUUAGGACGAGGGAAAGGUACUGGUUUGGAUGGAGUGAAAUGGGGUAAAUGCUUUAUGAUUCCUGGAGGGAGAUGUAUGGCAUCAACAGCAAAAUGUUGAGGAACAAACAUAAGAGCAGCAAGGAAUAACACUAAUAAGGAUAAGAAAAAGGAUUUAGCCAUUUUAAGAAGUGAUAUAAUUAUUAGUGUUGGUGCAUAAUACAUAGGGAGUUAAACUGGUUUUAUACUAGUUAGAGACUCAAUGUGAGUCUAUCGUCAAUCAAAGUUAAAAUUGUGCACGAAUUGAAUUAUUCAACAAUGUUACAAGUUCCAUGUAUUUGAUACUAGCUGAUGAUCAUUUAGUAUUAUUGGCUCUAUCUCUCCACUUGUUUGCGCACAUGGUUUACCUGAAAAAACAGUGUACUGGAGGUGCAACUUGUUUUAAUAGCAUUUUUUGUUGAGCACAUCAUGAGACAACACCGACAUCCUAACUAGAUUAGUAUUUCAGGACGCCUCCGUCCUAUGCCUGCCAAUCUCUAAAUUUUAUUAAAAAAGGGUAAAAAUAUAUACAAGGAGAGUGAGGACUAGGCCAAAAUCCUCAAUGAAAAAACCAAAGGAAACAAUAAAAAAUAAAGCCUACUGAAAUCUAUAAUUGGGUGAGCCAAUUCUGUCUCUAUAGAAGUCGAAAUGCAACUCUGCACGAAGCGUGUCUAACCAAACAGAACCCUGAAUAUCAUGACCCUCGGACAUUCCAAUAUAACAUCAUUGGGAAGAUGGAGGAAGACCACUCUUUCCAAGGAUUUGAUAAUGCGGCUUUCCGAAGACUUACUUCUUCAUAUUUAACGCGGCUUUUUUGAGAGAACUUGCGUAAAUCCUUUCUUUACGGCCCGUUGAUCGUAUUCUUUGAUUCUGGCCCAUAAAUCCAAGUCAUUCUGUACGUUUUUGCUAGUGUUUUAAUAACAUUAAUAUAUAGAUAUUACUAUUUAUAUAUGCAUUGAACCUGUAUGAUUUAUUUAUAAAAAUUCCAAAUAAAUUACUUUAUUUGUCAUUUAUGCUUGAACAUAAAAAUACAAAACAUUGUUUUUUCUCAUUAAAAAAUUUAAUUAAUUUAUAAAGCUUUUUAAUAAAUUAGUGUUUACCAAAUUGCACUCAUUAAUUCUUAAUUAUUGAAUGAUUGUAAACUCAUUUUAGAACCUCCAAAAAUGAAGAAAGCUCAUUCUUAGGACAACACAAAAUGGAAAACACUCAAGAUUGUUGGCAUAUUGGUAGACUAUUUCUAUCUGACAAAUUCAAUAAGCUAGUUUAUAGUUUAUAAGUCCGAAUGAUUAAAAAAUGUAUGUUUCAUAACCGUUUUUUCAUCACAAGUUUUAUAGUUUAUUUUAUUAGUUUGUAGCUUAUUUUUUAGACGUUAUUUUAAAUAACGUUUGAGAUUAUAGUUUAUCAUUUUUAUUUGUGUUUACCUUUAUUAUUCUGUUUAAGAUUUAUUUUUAUCCUUCAUAAUCUAUACUACUACCGUUUAUUCUGUUUGACAUUAUAGUUUAUUUUUAUUUGUAGUAUAUAUAAAGAAAAUAGGGGGAUGUUAGGCUAGCUUUUUUGUUACUCUAAUUAUACCCUAAAAUAAAUAAAAAGUCAAAUAAUAUUAUAUUGUUGGUGUUAUUAAAAAGAUAAGAAUUUUUGUUAUAUUAUUGUUGUCAUUGAGAAAGAUAAAUAUGGUUUAUUGAGUUUGUUACAUUUGAAAGUCACAUAUAUUUAUACUUGUAAUUUUAAUCUAUAUCAAAGAGUUUUUAUAAAAUAUAGGUUGUAAUUUACACGCAGAAUUUCUAUAAAUUAUCGUAGAUAAUCUAUACACGUUAACGUAGUAAAAAGAGAAGAAAGAUGCGCACGUGAGUGCCCGUCUUUUCACUAGUUUAUUAUAAAGAAAAUGUUAAAAUGUUCAAUUAUUUUGGUCAUACUGCACGAAUUAUUUGGUAGCCUGGCAUAUAUGUUACUAAUGUUAAUUUCACUCUCACUUUAAUUAUGUUACUCCACAGUCCUCUAAAAUCGUGUUUCUCUUUUUGCCCUAAAACUUCUCUUUUAUGUUACUCCACAAUCCUCUAAAAUCGUGUUUCUCUUUUUGCCCUAAAACUUCUCUUUUUGAUUAUUCAAUCCGAAUCAAGUUGAUCUGGUUUGGAUUAUAUAAUUUGAACUGCUUUUAUAUAUGUUGUUUCUUUAUUUUGUGGAUAUUUGUUAAUUGUUUGUACAUCUGAUUUUAACACUUUCAAAUAUUGACCGCAUGGGCUGUGUUAGGAACGAUAGAAUUUCCUUGACUGCAUCUUCUAGGUGAGAGCGUAUGUAGAAGAAUGUAGUGGAAAGGAGAGUGGUCAAGGGCAUGGGCAUGGGCCGCAAUGCUGAGACGCAGAGAGGUCGUCAGUUCCUAGACAUUAGUGGACAGUUACGGCGCAUCGAGGAACAUGUCAGAAGUAUUUAACUUUUUUAGUGAAGAUUUUUUUAAUUUAGAAUUUUUAAAGAGUGUCUCGAAAACACUCAUUAGCAAGACUGAUAAGUUGUAGUUUAUGGUGUUUUUAUCAUUUAAAUUCAAUAAUAUGUACGUUGUUUUAGUUUUAAUUUAGAUUCAUUUUACUGGAAAACAUUAGUUUUUAUUUUCAUAAUCAAAAUUAUGAAGAACAUUAUACCUAGAUUAAGAGCGAGGAAAAAGAGCCAUGAAAGAGCCAUAAAGCAGCAGCACGGAUGGUCCGUGGUUCCAUCUAGGUCGUGGAGUUCUUAAAAUGUCAAAAUUUCAAAAGUUGAAGUACAAGCACAACCGUGUGCCCCAACACGGUAGAAACAAGCAUGAUUGUGCACUUCAGAAGCACGACUUUUGCACCCCUCAAAACACAACAAAAUGUCAAAAGUUGGAAAGGUGAGCAUGACCGUGCACCCUUGAAGCACGACCGUGAGUCUUGUGCAGAGAAAAAUAGUUGUUACAACCUCUUAAAGUUCUUUGGUUCAUGGCUUGUAACUUGUUUUUAAUAUAUUUGUCUGAGGCUCUAGGCUAUAAAUAUACCUCACUUCUAAGGAAAAAAGAAUCUUAGAUACUUGUAAACUUACUCUAAAGUUGAAAGCAUAAUUUUGCAAUGUUUUAAGUUCUUUGUUCUUUAUUUUUCAUUUCUUUACAUUUGUAUUCUUUACUUUUCUGUUCUUUACAUUUUCAGUAUUUUAUCUUCAUGUCUUUAUAUUUUAAUCACAUGUCUAUUAUGAUCAUAUGUUAGUAAACAAACUAUUCUAGUCUUGGAAUUGUUAGAAUAAUCAAUCUAAUGAUUGAAUGUUAAUCAACCCAAGUCUAGACUCUAUUUUAUAAGAAUCCAUUUUAUAAUCUAAUAUCAUCGUUACUAAAUUUUAUUUUAUAAUCUAAUAUCAUUGUUAUGAAAUUUUAUAACAAGUAUCAAACAAAGAACUGAGAGUUGAUGUUUGAUAUUGUUAUUUAAUCAUGUCUAAGAUAUCAAACGAAGGACCGAGAGGUGAAAUUUGAUAUUGGAAUAAAUGAGAUUGUAAGAGAUAAGCAAAAUAUGAAAAUAAUUUUAUGACUCUUAGGACAAUAAGGUUAUAAGGUUGCACUCGAAAAGUUUCAAUGAUAAUCAACUAUGAGAAUAGGUUUAAUUACUGUUGAGAUACAUACAUUCAUGUAAUCUGAUAGGAAACUGAUAGAAUAUGUGUUACUUAGUCAUGUAAUUUGUAUUAUUAAAAGAAUAUUAAUACGUAUUCAUUGUGUUAAUUAGUCAUUCAUUUUGUAUUCAUUAGUCAUUAAGAGAAUGAUAACAAUUUGAUGUAUAUAAUGCACUCAGAUUAUCAAUGAAAAUCAUUCAGCUAUUUUCCUAUAUGGUAUCAGCUAGGUUUUAGAUCCUCUCCUACUUCUUCUAGCCGCCCACCACCACCUUUUCUUCCCUAUACUUCCGUUAUAAACCGCCAUCCAUGGCUACCUCAACAACAGCUGAAUCAACCACUCUCUCAACAAAUUCCUCUCCCGUGACAGACACAUUUGUCUCAACGGCACCAUCAUCAAAAAUUCACUCGGCCUUCACUAUCAACAACGUGAAGUCUAUCAUUCCCGUAACCUUGCACAAUGGCAGAAUGCUUUUCAUUGAUAAUCUGAGUGCAUUAUAUACAUCAAUUUGUUAUCAUUCUCUUAAUGACUAAUGAAUACAAAAUGAAUGACUAAUUAAUAUAAAUGAAUACCUAUUAAUAUUCUUUUAAUAAUACAAAUUACAUGACUAAGUAACACAUAUUCUAUCACUCCCACGCAGUUGAUGCGGGAGGUUGUCGGACGCUGAGUCUGUCCCUAAAAUCUUGAAAUAAAACCAAUGGGAGACCCUUAGUGAAGAUAUCUACAAUUUGAUAGCGUGAUGGAACAUGUAGGACACGGAUGUCUCCACGAGCUACUUUUUCACAAACAAAAUGAAUGUCCAUUUCGAUAUGUUUUGUGCGUUGGUGCUGGACGGGAUUUCGGAUAGAUAUAUGGCACUAACAUCCUUAUUAUCUAAUCCUAAACUACAAUGCACACAACAAUUGCAAAACCCUAAUCCUUGGUUUUGAGCGGGAAAAUUGUGAUUUAACCACAUUUAAUGGCAUUUUUGAAUUUCAAAUCAUGUACCCUUUUGAAAUGUGUGCAUAUGUGCCUAAUUAAUGCAGAUUUUGAAAUUCAAAUAUCCCACCACUUGGAAUUGUGCUCGCUUCUUUCCAAGACAUGCAGUUACCCACUUCUCAAUGCAAAAGCAUCUGAACCAAACAAACCUAUUUCCUUGCAUUUUGCUCUUUCUCCCUCUCUCUCACUCCCCUCUCACGCCCAUUUUUCUCUAAUCAGAAAAGGUCAACGAUUUUCAGUCCCUCUUCUCUUCUCUCUCACUCCAGUUUUCUCUCAAAAAAAAGCCUCUUCUCUUCUCCCACGUUAUUUUUUUCUUCAUUUUCUAACAUUCUUCUUCAAUUCUCCAUCUCUCUCUCUCAUUGUUUCUCGCGUAGCUCUUCGUGUCUUAGUUUGGGUGUUCUCUUCAUCGCCGGUCAGCCUCACCAAGGCAAUAAGCAUCUUCAAGUUUUAUUGAAAGAGAAUGCUUCUAUGCAACAAAAUUUUCAAGACCUUCGAUCCCUCGGUAUGCGUUUUCAGUUUCGUUACGUUUUGAUUGAUUUUGAUUUCGCGAUUAGGAUUUUGGUAUCACCGGUGUUGUUUUGAUUGAUUUUUCCGAUUUGAUAGGAAAGGAGCUUGAAGAAGGUGGAGUUCUCAGUGAAUCGGCACUGUCGCGGAAGGUUUUUCUUUUCAUCAACGAUCUUCUCUCUCAUUCUCUCUCAUUCGCUGCUCUUCUACUAAGCUUUGAUUGUGGAACGUAUGAAGGCAGAGUGACAUCUGAUAACGAUCAGAAUCAAGGCUACUAAGCUUAGAUUAUGGCUUCUAGGGGCAGAGGAAAAUGAGGAAGAAAAAGCACCAUCAAUUACAAUCUGCUCUACAUGUAUAAUGUUUUCCGUAUUCGAAUUAUUUCAAAUUGCAAGUAAUUUAAAUUGAGUUUUAAGGUAGUUUUCUUUGACUGCAAGUAUAAGGGGCUUAUUUCACAAGGUUAUACUUAGAUGUGUAUAUUCACUAUUGAAGCUUAUUUUGAGUUUCCGUGAUGACUUACUUUAUCGAAAUCACGGUGUGCCGCCGCGAUUUAGAAAAAGUUAUAGGGUGCAGCUUUUACAAUAACUAAAAAUUAACUAAUGAUUUGCCUGAAGUUUCUAAUUCUUUUUAUUGGUCCGAUUACAGUCCCUCUCUGAUGAUUUUCUACAACUAUCAGAUUUGAUUGAAUCAACUAAGGUUAAUUAUUUUGUCCAUAAUUUUUGCAAGAUAACUCUUCAGUCUACUGUUUUAGGUCAAAAUUAAUUUAUUUUGUGUAUAGAACAAUAGUUAUGCAGACCACCCAUUUCAAUAGGAUAAUGUCAAAAUUAAUUUAUGCAGACCAUCCAUUUCAAUAAUCAAUAAUGUUUUUUUGGGUUUGUUUGUAUAAUAGCAGGUUUUUUAAGAUUUGUUUUGUGUAUAAUGUGUCAUUUCACUCCACGUAGCCAAUCUUAGUGUUUGUUCAUGAAUAGAAAGUGGCUCAUAAAACAAUUUAAGGGUUCGAUUGUUCUAUAUUAUCUUUGCUCAUCUCUCUUAGUGUUUGAAAUUAGUUCAAAGAGUGGUCUAAAAAUUCUGCUAACAUAUGAGGAUGACGCUUGCAUUGAUAGUUUUUUUUUUUAAAAAAAAAAAAAAAAUCGCAUUGUAUACACAUAAAUUCCUUGAAAUAUAAUUGUAUACACAACGUACACUACAUACGAGGUCAACUUUACGUCGCAAUAUCCAAGGUGACCUCCAGGAAUGGGUUGAAGAUUUUAAUGAAUGAUGAUAAUAGUAAUAGCAUGAAUAGCACUUCAAAUGUAGUUAUAAGGAGAUUUUCUGCAAUCUACCGAUUUAAGGUCUUUUUUAAUGUAUUUUUUUUAGAAACAAUUUAUUUUGUACCGCAAGCAUAUUUAAUUUCAAUACAUUUUGUAAUAGCAUAUUUUAUUUUGUACAGCACGGGUGGAUGGUCUAGUUAUCACAAUAAACUAAACUAGCCUUGUGAAUGGGGAAAUGUAAUUCCAAAAGCAAGUUUCAUAACCAACAAGAUUCAGAAACCGCAUUGGAACCCCUCGAUAUUCUGCUUCAGCACUUGAACGAGAUAAAGUAGGUUGUCGUUUGGAAGACCAUGAGAGUAAGUUGUCACCAAGAGAUACACAGCAACCAGAGGUGGAUCGUCAGGUAUCUAGGCAACUUCCCCAAUCUGCAUUGUGUAAACAAUCAAUGAUGAUGUAGAAGAAGAGUAAAGUUGCAGUCCAUACUCGCGUGUGCCCUGAAUAUAUCUCAGGAUGCGUCAAAGGGUGUGCAUGUGAUCAUCCAUUGGAUUGUGCAUAAAUAAACAUAUUUGUUGCACUGCAUAAGAAAUGCCAGGCCUUGUGAAGGUGAGGUAUUGUAGGGCGCCAGCAAGGCUGCGAUAUAGAGAAAGGUCUUCAAAUGGGGUGCUAGUUUUGGCUCUCAUCUUUGGUUUAGUAUCAACCGUUGUAGGACAUGGUUUACAAGAAGCCAUUCCAGCACGAUCAAUAAUUUCUUCUGCAUAUUUUUUCUGAGACAAAAAUAAGCCACCAGGAUGACGUGUGACAGCAAUACCCAAAAAAUAAUUCAACAAUCCCAAAUCUUUCAUAGCAAACUCGGAACUAAGGAGUGAUAUGAUAGACUUUCAAAGGUCGUCAGAGGAAGAGGAAGCAGUAAGAAUGAUAUCAUCUACAUACAGUAUGAGGUAGGCCAAAAGGUGGGUUUUUCCUAUAUGGUAUCAGAAAAACUCUGCUUCCCGGAACUCUGGCAGAGGUGGUCGAAAUGGUACUGGUAAUUAUUGAUCUAUAACAAUAACCAUAUACGAAGACUACCUCAAAAAAAAAAAAAAAAAAAACGUACGAAGGAGAAUCAACCAUCUGGAUAAUACAUAUCCUUAUUUUAUUUAUUUGAAUUUGAAUGGCAACCACCAAAGCCACAUAUAGAAAGAAUAUUUUCCUACCAAUCGUACAUGAUGCCCAUAACAAAAGAUAGGUUCCAUAAUAUGGCCCCAUAAUAUCCUUAUCCUUAUAAUUAUGGUUCAGAAAAUAAAAAACCUCGUUAAGUUUUAGGAUUAUUUUAAGUUGAUAAAUAUUAACGAGUAUCUUCAGAGCAUUUUUCAAACAUCUAAAGUGGUAAGAUUUUAUGAAAGUUGAGCAUUUAUUAUAUUGGAAAUUGAAGUCUUUACAUUUCUUUUAAAAAUAAUUUUUUCAUUAUAAAUGCUUAAAAGGUGCUCCAUGGACAUUCAUUAACAGGACUCUUUUAAAUUUUAGAAUGUUAGCAUUUCCCUAAAACACAUGUUAAAGAUAGAGAUAUAUUAUGGCCUCUCACGGUAGCACCCGCCUACGUAGCGAGUUUAUGGUCAAUCUAAGUCAUUUACUAAAUGUCAAAAUUAUGUAUGAAUUGAAUUAUUCAACAAUGUUACAAGCUCCAUGUAUUUGCUACUAGUUGAUGAUCACUAACUAUCCUUUCAUUUUCCAUACAACUAGACCAUUUUUUUUUAGUAUUAUUUGCUCUAUCUCUCCACUUGUUUCCACAAAUAUGAUUAAUUUUUUUCGAAAAUUUUGUUUUUUUAAAUAUGAUAUUAUGGAAAACAAAAUUCGAAAAUUUGAAUAUAUAUUAAUCUUUUCCACAAUUUUUUUAAAUAUUUCCCGAUUAUUUUUAUAAUUUUUCCAGAUUUUUUUCAUUAUUUUUUAUUUUACCAGAUUUUUUUAAUCAUUAUUAAUUUUUACAUUUUUUUUUUAAAUUUUUCAGUAUUUUUUUUAAUCAUUAUUCGUUUUUUAAAUUUUUUUAUUUUUAUUUUAAAAAAAUCACAAAUGCCACGUGGCGUUCAUUUACACGCGUGGCAUGAAAAAAAUUAAACAAAAAAAAAUUGACACGUCACUGCCACGUAGUAGAUUCUGCCGACACAUUGAGGUGAGGGGUCAAUCCUGAAGAAUCUUCAUUUUUCAAGGGUGGAAUCUAAAAAAAAAAAAUUACAGGGGCUAAAACCAAAAGUGCAUUAUAUUACAAAGGCCAAAAACACUAUUAACACUAUAUUAUUACUUCUUCUUUUUUAUAAAAAUCCAAAUAAAAAUCAUUUGCAUUGCAGCCAAUUGGCCAAAUGCAACAUGACAAGCGCAAAAUUGCUCCAUGUUGACUUGUGAGAACUCUUGUUCUAGAUAGAGAACCUUAUAGUUUUUGUUGUCACAGAAAAUGUUAAACAACUUUUUCCAUGCAAUUUAUGCGUCUGAAUCGCGCUUGAUGAUGGUGAUGAGAAUAUAUUCUGAGGUGGUGUCAUAUAUCCAUUAUAAUACGACAACAUCAAAAAGCGGCCAAAGAUUGGGAUUGAUUUCUUUGAGAGAGGGAGUUGUUGGCUUAUUAGUGGGUGAGGGAGGAAUGAUGUGAUGAAAGACUUGAUGAACCCUUGCAUGAAUUUUAAAGAGUUCGAACCACGUAUUAUAUUGGACCCUUUUUUAUACUAAACGUAACCUUGAUGAAAUUGGUGAUAAUUGAAAAUGGUGGUAGAGGGAUGGAUAGGUGUGGAAGGAGUUGGGGUUGAAAUUGUCCUUCGAGUGGUAGUAUUUUUGGGGAUGAUUCGGCCCUGAUGGUGAAUGAAGGAGAAGAGGAACGAUGGCGCUGUAUUAGGUUUACGAGAGAAGGAUGAGUACCAACAACUUACUGAUACCAUGUAAGAAUUAUAAUAAGAUAAUUAUUAGUCGUGUGUCAUUUGCAUUGAGAGGAUCCGUUGACACUAGGUGUCAAACUUUAGUUUGACAUCAAAUCUCAACCGUCUAUUAUGUCUAAUCUAAUGGUCUGUGAUUAUUUAUUAAAUUAACUUGUGUGAUCUUUUUCCCAUGUCUCACCUGAUCCCACGCCGGCUGUUCUGCUCCAUCUCCUUCAACUUAUCAAAGUUAAUAUGGCCAACAAUCAAAUACACACACAAAUUAAUUCUUUUUUUUUUUUAAAGAAGAAGAAGCUAAAUUAGCCCACACAAAUUGGCACCGGAGAGAAUCGAUCCUGAGACCUCGAGGAGGAGCACACUCCCAGAUCCCAAGUCAAUACCACCAGACCAACCCAAAUGAUAAAUAAGGAGUUAAUUCUAAAUAAGGAGUUAUACAUAUAAUUACAUAUUGUUGACAUUAAUUGUUCUCUGUGGGGCAAGAUACUUGAGGUGUAAGUUUCAUAAGAUGCAAGUUCUUUUAAGUCUAAAUUGUCUUAUACUUACAUUAUUUUAGGUCUAAAUUUCAGAAACCAUUAUCACAAAUUUUUUGACAAUCUUAUCUCACAUACUCGUACUAUAUUUUUACUUCUCUUUUUGUUGUUUUGGUUUUUGUUUUCAUACCUAAUUUUCCUUGUAAAUCUAUAGUUGUCUCAUAAAUUAUCGUUAAAAUUGUUGUUCAAAUAACACAACUCCUAUUUCUAAUACUCAAAAUUUGUUCAAAUUAAGUUUUUAAAGAACUUCUAAUAAAAUCAGAUUAAGUUUUUUUGAACUUUCUAAAUACUUAAAUUGAAUUUUCUCGAAUAUACAUCUUGGAGAAAGAAAAAAAAUAAUUAUAGGAGGGAGAUGCAAAACUUACGUUUUCUUUCACUAGAAACAUAUUUUGAGUUUUCAAUAUCAUCAAAAUCAUAAACUUUAUUUAUUUGCAAAUCUAGAGCACAUAUAGCACGAUUUUCUCUCAUAAUUUACAUUGAUAUAACACAUAUUAUGUUCUUACCUUGCCCAAACAUUCGGGAUUUAAUUGAUAAUGUAAAAGAUGUUUUCAAAUGUAGAAUAAGAAAGAUGGAAAACCUCCAAGCCAAAUUAUACACAAGAAUAUAAAACAAAGCAUUUACUUGGUAGAUAAUAUUUUCUUUUUAAACAGCAAAUUUUAUUCAUAAUAAGAUAACCUAACACAAGAAGUGAAGAGGCUAUAGGGGAAAGACACAAGGUAACAAUACAUAAAGACAACUAAACCAAUGCUAAAAAUCCACAUCACAAAACCACCCAAACAACCCUUAAUACAAUAUAAUCACAGCAGAAAAACCUUAACCAAAUCAAGCAAACACACCCAGACCUUCCCCUAACACAAAAUCAAACCAGUUUCCAUCAACACCACAUCAAUAGACCCCUUAAAUAAUUGAACAAAAACCAGCCACCUAAACUUCCUGGUACCAGUAAAUUACAAUUACUUAGUAGAUAUUGAUAUGUCUUGUUGCAUUGAUGUUUCAGAAAUGUGUGGCUGGAGGGCAAUCUUUGGGUCGUAACUUCCACAAUAUCUUCGAGCAGCGAUUGAUUUUGGGAGUUUUGAAUUUUGGGAAGGCAGCAUCAACAGCAAAAUGUUGAGGAGCAAGCAUAAAAGCAGCAAGGAAUAACACUAAUAAGGAUAAGAAAAAGGAAUUAGCCAUUUUAAGAAGUGAUAUUAUUAUUGUGUUGGUGCAUAAUACAUAUGGAGUUAACUGGCUUUAUACUAGUUAGAGACUCAAUGUGAGUUUAUGGUCAAUCUAAGUCAUUGUGUAUGAAUUCAAUCAUUCAACACGUAGGUUCCAUGCAUUUGGAAAACUAGUUGAUGAUUAAAAAUGUUCAAUAUAUUAGGCUAUGAAUUGUUUAUGAAUUGAAUUGUUGAUGAUUAAAACAGUGUACUGGAGGUGGAACAUGUUUUAAUAACAUUAAUAUGUAGAUAUUAUUAUUUAUGCAUUGAACCCUGUAUUGAUAAAAAUUCCACAUAGGUUACUUUAUUUGUCAUUUAUGCUUGAAUAUAAAAAUACAAAACAGUGUUUUUUCUUAUUAAAUUUUUUAAUUAAAUUAUAAAGAUUUUUAAUAACUUAGUGUUUACCAAUUGCACUCAUUAAUUCUUAAUUAUAGAAUGAUUAUCGUAAACUCAUUUUAGAUCCUCCAAAAAUGAAGAAAGCUCAUUCUUAGGACAACACAAAAGAGAAGAAACGCAAGAUUGUUGGCAUAUUGGUAGACUAUUUCUGUUUGACAAAUUCAAUAAGCUAGUUUAUAGUUUAUAAGUCCGAAUGAUUAAAAAAUGUAUGUUUCAUAACUGUUUUUUCAUCACUAGUUUUAUAGUUUAUUUUAUUAGUUUGUAGUUUAUUUUUUAGACGUUAUUCGAGAUUAUACUUUAUCAUUUUUAUUUGUGUUUACCUUUAUUAUUUUGAAUAAUUUUUAGGAUAAUUUCUAGUGUUGAUCUAAGUUGUUUUUCAUUGAAAAUCAAUCUAAUUCAUUGAAUUAGGAUUCAUAUAAUUUGCUUAGGUCAAUUGAUUGCAAAAUCAAUUCAAUUCUUCAAUUACACAUGUAUUGUGUUUUUUAUUUGAUAACUUAGUAAUUUUGUUCAGAUAGGUUUGGUUUGAAAUUGUCUAUUGUUUUGUACAUUGUUCAAAGAAUAUUAAAGUUUGAUUGUAUAAUAAGAUUUGUAUCGUGAAUCUCUCAAUUCUAAGAUUAAAUCUCAUUGCACAUAUAUUUGUCUUUUUCAUUCCUUGAUUGUCAUUGUUCGACCACGAAUCCCAUAGUCAAUUUUGUUGAGAGAGAGAGAGAGAGAGAGAGAGAGAGAGAGAUUGGAUGGACGAGUAAUAUUAGUGCAGAACACAUAGCAAAAGAGAAUCGAAAAAAGAGGAUCCCGAUCCUUUUCUAAAGGACAAUCAACCAUCUAUAUAACGACAAAUUUAAACCCAUCAUGUACAAAAAUAACGAUCAAGGUGAAAAUAUAAACGUAACAUUGAACUAUGUUAUUAAAUUAUAAUAAACUUCAAAGGGUAAAAUUGGUUUUUAGAUAAACAUAUAAGCCAAAUAAGGUUACAAGUUGUUUUUUUUUUUUUUUUGAAAGAAGGGUUACAAGUUAUAAGCUUGUGAAGAAAAGACGGUUAUCAAACACAACCUAUACAGCUCAUGAAGCUACCAUAAAAAAUUUAAUAGUGGGGAUGUUUAAUGAAGAUUGGUAGUACUGUAGUAGUGUUACGUUGAUCAUGGAGCUAUAGUUAUAAAUAAUUUUAAAGUGGGUUAUGUUUAUUGAAGAUAGGGAGAUCGAAGCGGAAAUGCUGGAAAAUGAUGAUGGAAAAAUAUAAAUCGGCGAUUUAUAUUUUAGUCCUUGUGAAAGUUAGAAUUUAAGUUUGAAGGGGUGCACGGGUAUUCAAGGAUCCGAAGAUUUUAAGAAGCACCAAAUUUAAGGUUUACUUGGAGUUUGAGGGAGUGUUUUACAUAGGAGUUGAAGAAUUAGGUUUUAAUUUCAAGGAACUCUUGUAAACAGAUUGUAUUCAACAUUUGUUAGACCAAGUACAAUGGCUUGUUGAAAGUGCCAUUCAACAUGUUGAAUCAUUGUAGUGGGGGGUGUUGAAAUUGAAAAAAAAAAAACUUAGUUGGAGGAAAGAGAUGAUGAACAAGUUUAACUAGCUGAAAGCCUGGCCCUCACAGACACGUGGCGCGACCCGAUUGCAUGAAACAGGCGAGUGCGAUGCACGCGACGACAGGGCGCAUGAGAGAUUGGAAGCGCAGAGAGAGAAAGAGAAAUGGAUAAAUGUUGUGACACUUGGCAUGUUUUGAUUGGCUGCUUGGAUUUUUAUCUUCUUAAUAAUUUGGACUCAAUUAUUUCAUUGUAAAUAAUUUUUUUUUACCAAAAUUCGUGAUUUUUUUUUCUCUAUAAAUAGAGACUUGGAUCAUUUGAUUUGGACACAGAAAAAAAAAAUCAAGUUUUUUCACUCUCUUAAUCUUAUUACUAGCUUUUCUUUAAAAGUUUAAGUCUGAAAUUGAUCCCAAUAACAAUCAAUUCAAUACCCAAAGUUCUUCAGAUUACCCAUCUAGCUACCAAAAUCCAAAUUAUUAUCAACACCCAAAUCAAUUUCUCAACCAACAUCCUUAAAACCCAAAUCAAUUCCCCAACCAACAUCCUCAAAACAUGCCUAAUUUUGGUUUUGCCUCAAAUUUCAAUCACUCAUCCUCUGUUCUAAACAACUUUUAUCCAUAUUAUAGAUCUAUGAUGGGAUAUCCAUCUCAAACACCCCAUUUAAUGGUUAUAUGCCAAUGGUGAAUGAAAAUUUUCAGAGUGUUAGUGAAUAUCCUGAAUUUUCAUCACAAAUAAAUAGUGGUGGAAUGACAAGAGCUAAUGAAGUCACUCCAAUUUCAGAGGAUACAACUCCUAAGAGCAAGAAAAACCAGCAACCAGGAACACUGAACAAAAUUUGGUGUUAAUUAGUGGGUGAAUAAAAUAUGGAACAUGCAUUGUUGUCGGGAGAAACCAGACAAGUGAAGCAUAUUGGGUUAAAAUUGUUGAGUAUUGUAAUGAGCAUCGCUCAUUCGAUUCUCCGCGCGACUCAGUUGCAUGCCGAAACCGUUUUAAUUAUAUGAGCAAAUUAAUAAAUAAAUGGGUUGGUGCUUAUGAUGGUGCUAAGCGUUUGCAAGGAAGCGGUUGGUCGAAAGAUGAUGUUUUGGAAAAAGCCCAUGAAUUAUAUGUGAAACACCCCGUUUUCCCAACUUGAAAUUUUUUGCAUAAAUCAGAGUAAAACAGCUAAACAGGAUGCUGCACUUCUUUCAAAUCUGAAUAUAGUAAAAUUACUAAUUAUCUCAAUCAUCAAAUUAAAUCUUAUUGCAGCGGAAAUUAGUUCAACGUUUAAAACAACCUUGGCACAAAGGCCUCAAUGUAAAAUCUCAUAAAAUUAUUCCAACAACAUGUUCAUAAAACUUCAUAAAAUAAUACGUAAGGAACGUAAAGCAACAACAAAAUUCUCAUCCCGUUACGUAUCAGAGCACCUAAGACACACGUGAGAGAAUCCACUCACGACCGCAACUAUUCUUGGUUACCUGCAAGUUACUCAAUUGUGAGGGCAACAUUUCCAAGCAGAAGGGGUGAGAUUUCACAUUCAAUAAUAAUAAGCAUAUAAUUCAUCAAAUUCAUUUAACAACUUAAACUUCAUCAAUUAGUAACACUAACUCUUCGCAUAAAUACUUCAUUAAUUAAUAACAUUAACUCUUCCUAUAAGACUUCAUUAAUAACUCAAUCAACUUCUAAUCAUCAUUAACUUCAUAUUCAUCACAUUAUAUACAACGUCAUACAACACGUAAUAAUCAAAUCAUAAACAUCAUCAUAUAAAAACCUAAUCAUCACAUCAUAAACAUCAUCUUAUAACAUCAUAUAGUUCACAUCAUAAACAUCAUCAUAUAACAACAUAAACAUCACAACAUAAACAUGAAAUAAGGUUAUAAGGUUGCACUCAAAAAGUUUUAGUGAUAGUCAACUAUGAGAAUAGGUCUAAUUACUGUUGAGAUACAUUCAUGUAAUCUUAUAGGAAACAUGAAAUACCAAAGAACAUCUUGUCCUUAGAAAUGAAUAGAGAAAUAGAUAUGGAAUGUUUAGGAUUUAACUUUAUGAUGAAAACCGCAAUCUCAUGACGCAUUUUUAUAUCUAAAUUUUAAUCAAAAAAAUAAUUGCACUUAAUCAAUUUAUUUUUUUCAGCUAAUCAAAACUAAAAAUUAGAUUAGUAUUUACUUAAAGUCCAUGUGAAUCGAUAUUUUACUAGAACCGUACACUUGCGUAAACCUAUCAAAGACCCUAUUGAUGUAUAUGGAAUCGUAGUUACCUAUCAAAGCUACAAAAAAAAUUAGAUCGGAAUUGGGGUCUUUCUGACCAUUCUUGAAGUCGAAGGGGGUUCGUUUACUGGAUGUAGCAUCGAAGGCUUGAGUGAAGAGUUCGAAGGGGUGCACGGGUAUUCAAGGAUCUGAAGAUUCAAGAAGCACCAAAUUUAAGGGUUACUUGGAGUUUGGGGGAGUGUUUUACAUAGGAGUUGAAGAAUUAGGUUUUAAUUUCAAGGAACUUUUGUAAACACAUUUGUAUUCAACUAUUAUAAAAAUAUCGGUGUUAUCUCUCUUUCCCUAUCCUCUUUACUUUUAGCUAUUGCAUGUGAUUAAUUGAAUAAUUUUUAGAAUAAUUGCUAGUGUUGAUCUAAGUUAUUUUUCAUUGAAAAUCAAUCUAAUUCAUUGAAUUAGGUUUCAUAUAAUUUGCUUAGAUCAAUUGAUUGAAAAAUCUAUUCAAUUCUUCAAUUACACAUGUAUUGUGUUUUUGAUUUGAUAACUUAGUAAUUUUGUUCAUGUAGGUUUUUGGUUUGAAAUUGUCUAUUGUUUUGUACAUUGUUCAAGGAAUAUUAAAGUUUGAUUGUAUAAUAAGAUUUGUAUCGUGAAUCUCUCAAUUCUAAGAUUAAGUCUCAUUGCACAUAUAUUUGACCUUUUGAUUCCUUGAUUGUCAUUGUUCGACCACGAAUCCAAUAGUCAAUUUUGUUGAGAGAGAGAGAGAGAGAGAGAGAUUGGAUGGACGGGUGAUAUUAGUGCAGAACACAGCAAAAGAGAAUCGAAAAAAGAGGAUCUUGAUCCUUUUCUAAAGGAGAAUCAACCAUCUAUAUAAUGACAAUUUUAAACCCAUCAAGUACAAAAAUAACGAGCAAGGUGAAAAUAUAAACGUAACAUUGAACUAUUUUAUUAAAUGAUAAUAAACUUCAAAGGGUAAAAUUGGUUUUUAGAUAAACAUAUAAGGGGUUACUAAAAAGGGUUACAAGUUUUUUUUUUUUUUUGAAAGAAGGGAUACAAAUUAUAAGCUUGCGAAGAAAAGACGGUUAUCAAACACAGCCUAUGCAGCUCAUGAAGCUGCCAUAAAAAUUUUAAUAGUGGGGGAUAUUUAAUGAAGAUUAGUAGUAGUGUUACGUUAUUCAUGGAGCUAUAGUUAUAAAUAAUUUUAAAGUGGGUAAUGUUUAUUGAAGAUAGGGAGAUCGAAGCGGAAAUGCUGAAAAAUGAUGAUGGAAAAAUAUAAAUCGAUAUUAUCUUUUAUUUUAGUCAGAAUUUAAAUUUGGUAUUUUUCAGUAUCCAUGUCGGCGAUUUUGACUAAUUUUGAUUAAGUAAACGUCUUAGUUGACUUCAAUGACUAAAGUAACUAAGAACAAAGAGUGAAUGAUUUAAUUCGGGUUUUAUCUAAGUCAUUGACCAAAAUUACAUCUUGUUACACUUUUAAGGAGAAAAAUGGUUGUUUUCCCAAUAAUGUUUUCCAAUAUUAAAUUAAUGUUGUUUUCUGCCUUAGGGAUGUUACCAAUUUGUUAUGUUGGAGUUACCUUUAGUGCUAAGAAACCUUUAGACCAAUAAAAAUAUUUUGAGUCCCUUUUAAAGUGGUAAAUACACUAAUAUAAAGUCAUUGUCAAUUGAUGUUAGGACUAUUUAUUAAGAAUGCAAUAUUUACUUGUUGUUCUUUGGUAGACACUUAGAGUUCAUUUUUGUGGACUGUAUGAACUUGGUUAUAUCAUAGUUAACGUCGUAUUAGACAAACGGAAAUGAAAGACUCAUCUCUCACUCUACUUAGGACUAGCCAAUUGUCAAACUUGGUUACAAUUUAUUUUGUUUGGAAAACUUAAUUUGAAUUUUCUACAAGUCAUGAAAAAUUCAAAUUUCUGUUUUCUGAUUAGAAGAUCAAUAAACGGUUCAAUAUCAUCACAAUCUCCAAAUCAUAACUUCAUUCAUUUGCAAAUCUAGAGCACAUAUAUCACGAUUUUCUAUCAUGAUUUGCAUUGAUAUAAGUAAGUAUAACACAUAUAUUUUACUCUUAACUUAGCCAUACAUUGCGGAUUUACUUAGUAGAUAGAGUAAUGUUUUUUUUUAAACAACAAAUUUUAUUCAUAAGCUAACCCAACACAAGAAGUGAAGAGGCUAGAGGAAACACACAAGACAACAGAUACAUAAAGACAACUAAACCACCCAAACAAUCCUUAAUACAAUAGAAUAACAUCAGAAAAACCAGCCACCUAAACUUCCUAGUACCAUGAAACAAUGUCAGGUCGCGUUGAUUUUUAGGCUGGAGGGCAAUGUUUGUUUCGGAAGUUCUCGACUUUCUUCAACAAAGGGUAGUGCUUUUUGCAGAAAUCGGGUAUAUGGGGUAUAUGUACUGGUUUAUCUUUUGGGAUUAAAUUUUUGAUUUUUGGGAUUAAUGCUUCAACUGCGGGACCAAAGCUAACAGCAUCAGCAAAAUGUUGUUGAGGAGCAAGCAUAAAAGCAGCAAGGAAUAACACUAAUAAGGAUAAGAAAAAUGAAUUAGCCAUUUUAAGAAGUGAUAUAAUUAUUAGUGUUGGUGCAUAAUACAUAUGGAGUAUACUGGUUUUAUACUAGUUAGAGACUCAAUGUGAGUUUAUGGUCAAUCUAAGUCAUGUACUAAAUGUCAAAAUUGUGUAUGAAUUGAAUUAUUCAACAAUGUUACAUGUUCCUUCCAUGUAUUUGCUACUAGUUGAUGAUCAGUCCCUACCUAUCCUUUAAUUUUCCACACAACAAGACCAUUCAGUAAUAUUGGCUCUAUCUCUCCACUUGUUUGCCCACCAUGGUUUAGCUGAAAAAACAGUGCAACUUGUUUCAAUAACAUUAAUAUAUAUAGAUAUUACUAUUUAUAUAUGCAUUGAACCCUGUAUGAUUUAUUUAUUUAUAAAAAUUCCAAAUAGGUUACUUUAUUUGUCAUUUAUGCUUGAAUAUGAAAAUACAAAACAGUGUUUUUUCUCAUUAAAAUUUUUACUAUAAAGAUUUUUAAUAACUUAGUGUUUACCAAUUGCACUUACUAAUUCUUAAUUAUAGAAUGAUGAUUAAAAAUUGUAUGUUUCAUAACUGUUUUUCAUCACAAGUUUAUAGUUCAUUUCUCAGACGUUAUUCCAAAUAACGUUUGAGAUUAUAGGUUAUCAUUUUAAUUUCAUGUUUACCUUUAUUAUUUUGUUUAAGAUUUAUUUUUAUCCUUUUUAAUAUAUACUAUUUAUAAAGAAAAUAUAGGGAUUUUGGGCUGACUUUUUUGUUAUUCCAAUUAUACCUUUAAAUAAAAAAAAAUCAAAUAAUGUGAUAUGGUUGGUGUUAAAUAAGAAUUUUUGUUAUAUUAUUGUUGUCAUUGAGAAUCAUAAAUAUUGUUUGUUGAGUUUGUUACAUUUGAAAGUCACAUAUCAUACUUUUAAUUUUUGUCCAUAUCAAAAAAUUUAUAUAAAAUAUCGUUUGUAAUUUACACGCAGAAUUUCAAUAAAUUAUCGUAAAUAAUUUAUACACAUUAACGUAAUAAAAAGAGCAGAAAGAUGAACAUGUGAAUGCUCGUCUUUAGUAAGUAAGAUUGUCUUAUAUACUUACAUUAUUUUAGGUCUAAAUUUCAGAAACCAUUAUUUGACAAUAUUUUUGACAAUUUUAUCUCACAUACUCACAUUAUAUUUUUACUUCUCUUUUUGUUGUUUUGGUUUUUAUUUUCAUACCUAAUUUUCCUUGUAAAUCUAUAGUUGUCUCAUAAAUUAUCGUUAAAAUUGUUGUUCAAAUAACACAACUCUUAUUUCUAAUACUCAAAAUUUGUUCAAAUUAAGUUUUUAAAGAACUUCUAAUAAAGUCAGAUUAAGGUUUUUUUGAACUUUUUAAAUACUUAAAUUGAAUUUUCUCCAAUAUACAUAUUAGAGAAAGAAAAAAAAUAAUGAUAGGAGGGAGAUGCAAAACUUAUGUUUUCUUUCUCUAGAAACAUAUUUUGAGUUUUCAAUAUCAUCAAAAUCUCAAAAUCAUAAACUUUAUUUAUUUGCAAAUCUAGAGCACAUAUAGCGCGAUUUUCUUUCAUAAUUUACAUUGAUAUAACACAUAUUAUGUUCUUACCUUGCCCAAACAUUCGGGAUUUAAUUGAUGAUGUAAAAGACGUUUUUAAAUGUAGAAUAAGAAAGAUGGAAAACCUCCAAGCCAAAUUAUACACAAGAUAUACAAAUUAUACACAAAAAUUUCAAAUUUCAAUUUUCUCGAGAGUAUUCUUAAAUGAUCAAUCAAUGAUUCAAUAUAAUCACAAUCUCAAAAUCAUAAACUUUAUUUAUUUUCAAAUCUAGAGCACAUAUAGCGGGAGGAGAUUGUCUCGUGUGAUUUUUCUCUCAUGUGUAAUCCAGACCCUCCAUUAAAUAUGUGAGAUAAUGUGUUUGUAAUAUAAAAUGACCGAACGCAAGAUAAAUUGUUUUUUUCUAAACAAUAAAUUUUAUUCAUAAGCAUUCCCGUGAGCUUAGCUCAGUUGGUACGGAUAUUGCAUUUUAUAUGCAGUGGCUGAGGUUCGAACCCCAGACACCCCACUUCUCCACAAUUAAAUUGUGUGAGCUCUAACCACUAGACUACUUGACCAAGAAAAAAGAAAUAUUCAUAAGCUAACCCAACACAACACAAGAAGUGAAGAGGCUAUAGAGGAAAGACACAGGGUAACAAUACAUAAAGACAGCUAAACCAAGGCUAAAAAGCCACAACACAUGUAAAUGGCUUAUCACAGCAGAAAACAAGGUAUAUCAAUAUCAUGUGUGACUACAAAACCGCCCAAACAACCCUUAAUACAAUAGAAUCACAGCAGAAAACACCCUUAGUAGAUAUUGAUAUGCCUUGCCGCGAUGAUGUUUUAGAAAUGUGCAGGUGGAGGGCAAUUACUGGGUCGGUUAUGCCCGUUUUUCCUCGAGCAGGGAUUUAAUGAGGGCUUUUGGGAUGGUUUAGGACGAGGGAAAGGUACUGGUUAGGAUGGAGUGAAAUGGGGUAAAUGCUUUAUGAUUCUUGGAGGGAGAUGUAUGGCAUCAACAGCAAAAUGUUGAGGAACAAACAUAAGAGCAGCAAGGAAUAACACUAAUAAGGAUAAGAAAAAGGAUUUAGCCAUUUUAAGAAGUGAUAUAAUUAUUAGUGUUGGUGCAUAAUACAUAGGGAGUUAAACUGGUUUUAUACUAGUUAGAGACUCAAUGUGAGUCUAUCGUCAAUCAAAGUUAAAAUUGUGCACGAAUUGAAUUAUUCAACAAUGUUACAAGUUCCAUGUAUUUGAUACUAGCUGAUGAUCAUUUAGUAUUAUUGGCUCUAUCUCUCCACUU